GGUUCGAGUUAUCGCGGAGAAAAAUGAGGAAUCAUUAUUGAUCAUUUUUCAAAAAAAUUAGUACUAUAAUGUAUCAUGAAUGAACUAUAUAUACAUUAGUAGUCUUGAAACAAAAUGGUAAUAAAAAUCAAUGUAGCUUUUUCUUUCAACUAUAUAAACAUUCACCUAAGUUUUCUCAAAGGCAGAGCUCCACCAAAGAGCUUCUCCACCUCAGUUGCCUCCAUUUUCAGCUCACUCAACAGAUCCAUCUCUUCCUUAUUCAGCUCUUGUAGGAGGUAAUCUUUGUCCUUGAUCAGCUCUUGGAAUCCUUUCAUCAGCCUCUCGAGUAACGACAUCUCCGCCUUUGCGACCUCCAGCUCAACCUCCUGCUCGAUCUCCUCGACCUCCCUCACGAUGAUCUCCUCGCCCUCCUCCACCGUCUUCUCC